AAGUGUAGUCAAUAGGAUUCACUAGUAAGACACACUGUAUCUAGUUCAGGGAAUUACUAUAAAACUUUACAUUUGUAUAGUGCUUUUUACUUUGCACCACACUUAAACAUUUUUCUUUAAUCCUCACAACCAUACUCUGAGGUAUGUAUUAUUAUCACUACUUUUUAGAAUGGGAAAUUGACACUGUAGGAGGUUAGGUGAAUUAGGUUUCAUAGCUGGCAAGUGGUGUGCCUAAGAUCUGGACUUUGAUCUGGGACUCCUCAGAGUAGUAGUAGGGACCCAGUGGAAAUUAUCUGCAUAAGAAGUGAAAGGUAAAACUGUAGAAAAGGAUGAGAUCCCCAAAGGACAGAUUAUAGAUGGAUUUUAUAUAUGAUAUAAUAAUGUGGAGAUAGUUUUCAGUUUUUAUCUGAAAGUUGGAGUUGGAGCCUACCAAGAUGGGAAUAACAUUGAGUUUAUUUUUUUCUGCCAACAGUUGCAAGAGUUUACAAGUUGUUAGUUUAUAUCCAAGCAUUACAGGGCCUUAAUAAUCUGUUUUGAUAAUGGGCAAAUCUUUUCUAUUAGCAGAAAAGGACAUAGACACAAAGAUAAGAUUUUUAUACUAGUACUUGUUAAUUCUCUUGUCUUAAAUAACAGAUAAAAAGCCAGAAGCCUUUGUCAAUCAUUCCAACUCUGAAAGCAAGAGUAGUAUCACAGAGCAGAUACCAGCACCAGCUCAAAAUACCUUCUCUGCCUCUUCUGCUAGGAGGGUGAGUACUUUUUACUUAAUUUGGGAAUUAGAUUUCACCCUACUGCAGUAGCACACAUCUAGAAAGGCCUUAAAGGUACAUUCUUGCAAAAUAAUAAAAAUACAUUUUUCCUGUCAUAAUCUGCUCCCAUAACAAAAAACACAGGCUGGGUGGCUUAAACAACAGACAUUUAUUUCUCACAGUUCUGGAGGCUGGGAAGUCUCAGAUCAAGGUACCAGCCAGUUCAGUUCCUGGUGAGGGCCCUCUUUCUUGACAUGAAUAUAACCACCUUCUCGCCAUGUCCUAACAUGGCAGAGAGAAGGAGCUCUGGUGUCUCUUUCUCUUCUUAUAAGGUAACCAGCCCUAUCAGAUUAGGGCCCCACCCUAUUAACCUCAUUUAACCUUCAUCACUCCUCACAGACCCUUAUCUCCAAAUAUAGUCACAUUGGGAAUUAGUGCUUCAAUAUAUGAAUUUUGGGAGGACACAAACAUUCAACCCAUAACAUUGCCCCCAAAGUGGUAUUCUUGUGGAAAUGAGAGAACAAAGGCCUGGCUACUUAUUUAUCCCUAAAAGCAUCACUGUGAAUAAUUAAAGAGGCUUUGAAUAAAUGUAAUUCUCACUCAUAUUCAGUCAUUUUGGUGUACCUCAUAUACUGCCACUGCCUCUAAGGAUGCCUAGACUUCCUACUUUUUUCAAUAGAAAAAUACUAAAUUAGCCAGGGUGCAGUGGCUCACACCUAUAAUCUCAGCACUUUGGGAGGCCAAGGUGGGCAAAUCACUUGAGCCCAGGAGUUUGAGACUAGUAGCUUGGGCAACAUGGGAAAACCCUAUCUUUACAAACAAUAAAAACAUUAGCCAGGCAUGGUGGCACACACCUGUAGUCCCAGCGACUUGGGACUGGGAGGCCGAGGUGGG
rnacentral:lncRNA from 1 species